AUUGAACGCUGGCGGCAGGCCUAACACAUGCAAGUCGAACGAGUGGCGGACGGGUGAGUAAUGUCUGGGCAACUGCCCGAUGGAGGGGGAUAACUACUGGAAACGGUAGCUAAUACCGCAUACCCUCGGAUGUGCCCAUAUGGGAUUGGCUAGUAGGUGGGGUAACGGCUCACCUGGGCGACGAUCCCUAGCUGGUCUGAGAGGAUGACCAGCCACACUGGAACUGAGACACGGGCCAGACGCCUACGGGAGGCAGAAGUGGGGAAUAUUGAACAAUGGGCGCAAGCCUGAUGCAGCCAUGCCGCGUGUAUGAAGAAGGCCUUAGGGUUGUAAAGUACUUUCAGCGAGGAGGCGUUACUCGCAGAAGAAGCACCGGCUAACUCCGUGCCAGCAGCAGCGGUAAUUC
rnacentral:rRNA from 1 species